rnacentral:rRNA from 1 species
CGGGGGGGGCAAGCGUUGUUCGGAAUUACUGGGCGUAAAGGGCUCGUAGGCGGCCAACUAAGUCCGACGUGAAAUCCCCAGGCUUAACCUGGGAACUGCGUCGGAUACUGGAUGGCUUGAAUUCGGGAGAGGGAUGCAGAAUUCCAGGUGUAGCGGUGAAAUGCGUAGAUAUCUGGAGGAAUACCGGUGGCGAAGGCGGCAUCCUGGACCGACAUUGACGCUGAGUGAGCGAAAGCUAGGGGAGCAAACGGGAUUAGAUACCCCGGUAGUCCUAGCCCUAAACGAUGAAUGCUUGGUGUGGCGGGUAUCGAUCCCUGCCGUGCCGAAGCUAACGCAUUAAGCAUUCCGCCUGGGGAGUACGGUCGCAAGGCUG